GGGGAAUAUUGCGCAAUGGGCGAAAGCCUGACGCAGCCAAUCCGCGUGUGUGAUGAAGGCCUUCGGGUUGUAAAGCACUGUCGGCAGGGAAGAAUCAAUGACGGUACCUGCCAAGAAAGCACCGGCUAACCCCGUGCCAGCAGCCGCGGUAAUACGGGGGGUGCAAGCGUUGCUCGGAAUCACUGGGCGUAAAGCGUCCGCAGGCGGACUUGUGUGUCGGUCGUGAAAUCCCAGGGCUCAACCCUGGAACUGCGAUCGAAACUGCAAGUCUCGAGUACGGGAGAGGAAAGCGGAAUUCCUGGUGUAGAGGUGAAAUUCGUAGAUAUCAGGAGGAACACCGGUGGCGAAAGCGGCUUUCUGGCCCGAUACUGACGCUCAUGGACGAAAGCGUGGGGAGCAAAC
rnacentral:rRNA from 1 species